UCACAUGGAUGAGCAAAGAAAGUGGUUUCUGAAGAAGGAAUCUACUCCUGGUGAAGAUACUGUGAA
rnacentral:pre_miRNA from 1 species